rnacentral:rRNA from 1 species
GAUGAACGCUGGCGGCGUGCCUAAUACAUGCAAGUCGAGCGAACAGACCCGGCGCUUGCUCCUCUGACGUUAGCGGCGGACGUGUGAGUCACACGUGUAUCCCCUCCCUAUCAUACUGGUAUCACUUCGGGACACCGGCGCUAAUCCCGGAUAAUCUAUUGCUCCGCAUUGUUCAUUAGUGAAUGACGGCUUUUCUGUCACUUCUAGCUGGUUCCCGGCGGCAUUAGCUAGUUGGUAAGGUAACGGCUUACCACGGCAACGAUGCGUAGCCGACCUGAGAGGGUGAUAGGCCGCACUGGAACGGAGACGGGGUCCAGGGGCCUAAGGGAGGCAGCAGUAGGGAAUGGUCCGCAGUGGGCGAAAGCCUGACGGAGCAAGGGCGCGUGAGUGAUGAAGGUCUUCGGAUCGGAAAGCUCGGUUAUUGGGGAAGAACAAAUGUGUAAGGAACUAUGCACGGCGUGACGGUAACGGGUCAGAAAGCCACGGCUAACUACGUG